rnacentral:misc_RNA from 1 species
ACAAAGCUUGAAGUUCGCUCAUCCGCGUCUUCAACAAAUCCAUCCACACCUUGUGCAAUAUUGACAUCGAGGCAAGUUCUUUCGGGAAUUUGCUGGUCUUGUGGGGGGAAAAACCUAAAGGAUAUAGGCAGUCAUGCUUAACCUUUAAGCCCCCCAAAAGUAUUUAACCUCUACGUUUUUGUUUGUCUGAAACUUUUUAUUGAUACAAUAAAAA